UGCGGCCGUACUCCCCAGGCGGUCUACUUAUUGCGUUAACUGCGAUCACUAAGUCUUUAAAAGACCCAACGACUGGUAGACAUCGGUUUACGGCGUGGACUACCAGGGUAUCUAAUCCUGUUUGCUACACACGCUUUCGCACCUCAGUGUCAGUAUGAUGCCAGGGAGCUGCCUUCGCCAUCGGUAUUCCUCCAGAUCUCUACGCAUUUCACCGCUACACCUGGAAUUCUACUCCCCUCUCACCUACUCUAGUUAUCCAGUAUCAGAUGCAGUUCCCAGGUUAAGCCCGGGGCUUUCACAUCUGACUUAAAUAACCACCUACGCGCGCUUUACGCCCAGUAAUUCCGAUUAACGCUUGCACCCUCUGUAUUACCGCGGCUGCUGGCACAGAGUUAGCCGGUGCUUAUUCUGUGGGUAACGUCAGGGCUUAUGGGUAUUAACCAUAAGCUUUUCCUCCCCACUUAAAGUGCUUUACAACCAAAAGGCCUUCUUCACACACGCGGCAUGGCUGGAUCAGGCUUUCGCCCAUUGUCCAAUAUUCCCCACUGCUGCCUCCCGUAAGAGUCUGGGCCGUGUCUCAGUCCCAGUGUGGCUGAUCAUCCUCUCAGACCAGCUACAGAUCGUCGCCUUGGUAGGNCUUUACCCCACCAACCAGCCAAUCCGACUUAGGCUCAUCUAAUAGCGAGAGCUAAAAGCCCCCUUUCACCCGUAGGUCGUAUGCGGUAUUAGCUUGGGUUUCCCCAAGUUAUCCCCCACUACUAGGCAGAUUCCUAAGCAUUAC
rnacentral:rRNA from 1 species